CAAAUUUCUUAGGAAAACUGUUCCCUGGGAGAGUAUAAAAGUAAGGUGCAGAAAACAUGAUGCUCACAGUAUUGCACACUCGGCAAGGGAGGAUUCUUCAAAUCUGAUUAGAGGCCUGCAAAAACGAAAGCCGUUGCUUCUGUUUCUAAGAUACAAGGAUUCUGCAUCCUUUAAGACGAGGAUGACUCCUUCAAUCCAGUGCAUCAUUGUCCUGGCCUGCUGUAUCACUUACACUUCAAUGGCUAUUUUGCAGUGCCGGUGUAUAAAAAGAAGCAAGUCCCUUAACCCCUCUCUCAUUGCUGGUGUCGAGGAGUAUCCGCCUCGUCCAUACUGCAACCAAAGAGAAGUAAUUGCCAUACUGAAAAAUAACAGCAAACAGUGUCUUGACCCCAGUUCAAAAUUCACCCAAGCAGUCCUGCAGACAAUAAAAAGGCAGAGGGCGGUCCAACCUCAUAAGAGGAUCAUCGCCAGCCCAAUAACAACCAAAAAUUGGGCAACCACAUCAUCAGCCACAGAGUCAGCUACAUCAUCAGCUACAGCAACGCCAACAUCAUCAUAAUGCAAAUGUGUUUAUCAUCGUUGCAAUUAAACAGAGGUAUCUAAUUUGUACACCUUCCCAAAAGGUUAGGGUUGCUGUUUGUUCCUGUUUGUUUCUACAAAGUCAAACCCAGGCACUUGCUGAAACAAGUGAAAUUGUUUCACUUCAGUUGUUUUGAGUGUUGUUCACUGGAAGCUAAAAGUUAAUACUCCAGAAUCCAUAACUGAGGAUGGGCACUUUUAGUAGACUGUUUGUAAAGCUAGAGUAUUCUUCCAGGUAAACGGAUGCAUGUAUGAAAUGUGAUUUAAGUAAGCUGGUAAGACUAUUGUAUUUCCAUCUUAAAAAACUGCCUUAAGUUUUCAUCCACUGUU